rnacentral:rRNA from 1 species
UACGUAGGGCGCAAGCGUUGUCCGGAAUUAUUGGGCGUAAAGAGCUCGUAGGCGGCUUGUCACGUCGGGUGUGAAAGCCCGGGGCUUAACCCCGGGUCUGCAUUCGAUACGGGCUAGCUAGAGUGUGGUAGGGGAGAUCGGAAUUCCUGGUGUAGCGGUGAAAUGCGCAGAUAUCAGGAGGAACACCGGUGGCGAAGGCGGCGACCUGGUCCAUUACUGACGCUGAGGCGCGACAGCGUGGGGAGCAAACAGG